AUCCAAACCAUGUGGACUGUAGUCAGUUGCUCCAUUGCCAUCUCCUCAGAGAGCCGGUGUUUACAGAGCAGGUACACAGGCACUUUGGAUUUUCCAGACCAUGCACCCUUGUCACGCUAGUUGACCCUGAAAGCCUCUUCUCUCUGAGACUCUUUCCCUCCCCCAACCAAACCAUGCAGAAGAUUUGGGUUUGUGCAUAACUUUUUUUGAAGCAAGUUUGUUUGGCUGUGAACUGCCACAUUCUCCAUGGCAUUCAGUCCAUUGUAUGCAGCUGAGUUGCAUCCCAUUUAGCUUUCUCAGGCAGUUGAAAGGAAAUUAUGGUACCGAAUCAGCCCAUAGUGGAGGCAGGAGGUUUUGCAGCAUUUAGACCUGGAGCAAAGAACCGGGACCCAGAAACUAACUGUAAUGAGAGCGCGUCCUUUCAGAGCCAGCCAUCAGGGAGAGCAAAUCAAUCAUGCCCUGCCCUCCGCUGGGACCAGCGAGUGAUUGAUUCAGCUCCUGUCGGCUGCCCUUAUGGACCGGGAUGUGCGUGAACAUGAAAGGAGCAGAACAAAGGCCCCAUUACCGCAGUGGGCAGAGAGAAGGCUCCCCUGCUGCUUGAUGCAUCUCUCCCUCUCUAAGCUAUUGCAGCCUCCCAGUCUUUGUCCUCCUUCCUCCUCUAGUGCUUUGAUCCUUUCUUCCUCUGCUUUCCAGCCAGCCUGGCCCCAGUCCCUUUUUCCAGUUCCUCCCAACUGUGAUGUUUGCUUGUCGGGAAAGUCCCGAUAACCUCACGUAAUGACUACUAUUCCUGGCCGAUCCUUGUGGUCAGUCCUUUCCCAUCAAUUUUUCUCUCCCCAGCCCCAUUCAUCCACCCCUUGCAGAAGGAAUAAAAAAAUAGGCUCAGACAA